rnacentral:rRNA from 1 species
UACGUAGGUGACCAGCGUUGUCCGGAUUUACUGGGCGUAAAGAGCGCGCAGGCGGUCGUUCAAGUCGAGUGUGAAAGCCCCCGGCUCAACUGGGGAGGGUCAUUCGAUACUGAUCGACUUGAAGGCAGGAGAGGGAAGUGGAAUUCCCGGUGUAGUGGUGAAAUGCGCAGAUAUCAGGAGGAACACCGAUGGCGAAGGCAGCUCGCUGGGACGGUACUGACGCUGAGGCGCGAAAGCGUGGGGAGCAAACAGG